rnacentral:tRNA from 1 species
GAAGCGGUAGCUCAGCGGUAGAGCAGCCGAUUGCAGCUCGGCAGGUCACUUGUUCAAUCCAGGUUCGCUUCU